rnacentral:misc_RNA from 1 species
ACGAGGGAAAAGGGUAUCGAAGUAAUACUGUCCAAGGAGCAAAUCACGAACAUAAACACCCAUUGUAGCCAUACGUCCAUGGGAUCCUGGUGAAAAUUCCUCUUCAUCUUUAACAUACGGUUCAAACCAAUUCCAGAGAGUCUUUGGGUCUGCAACAUAUCUCAAGUAGAGAAAUCCAAUCGCUCUGAUGUAAGGAGAAUCCUCAUGCUUUAAUAGCCCA